UACGAGAGGCCCAAACAUUAUUCGGAAUUACUGGGCUUAAAGAGUUCGUAGGCGGCAUGGUAAGUAGGGUGUGAAAUCCCUCGGCUCAACCGAGGAAUUGCGCUCCAAACUACCGUGCUAGAGGAAGCUAGAGGUGAGCGGAACUGAUGGUGGAGCGGUGAAAUGCGUUGAUAUCAUCAGGAACACCGGAGGCGAAGGCGGCUCACUGGGGCUUUUCUGACGCUGAGGAACGAAAGCCAGGGUAGCG
rnacentral:rRNA from 1 species